rnacentral:rRNA from 1 species
AGGGUUCGAUUCUGGCUCAGGAUGAACGCUAGCGGCAGGCUUAAUACAUGCAAGUCGAACGGGAUUCAGGUAGCAAUACUUGAUGAGAGUGGCGCACGGGUGCGUAACACGUAUGCAACCUACCUUUAACUGGUGAAUAGCCCCGGGAAAUCGGGAUUAAUACACCAUAACAUUACAAGAGGGCAUCCUCUAAUAAUUAAAGAACUUCGGUUAAAGAUGGGCAUGCGGGACAUUAGCUAGUUGGUGAGGUAACGGCUCACCAAGGCAACGAUGUCUAGGGGUCCUGAGAGGGUUAUCCCCCACACUGGUACUGAGACACGGACCAGACUCCUACGGGAGGCAGCAGUAAGGAAUAUUGGUCAAUGGGCGCAAGCCUGAACCAGCCAUGCCGCGUGAAAGGAAGACGGCGCUAUGCGUUGUAAACUUCUUUUGUCAGGGAAUAAAUGUAGGUACGUGUACUUACUUGAAGGUACCUGAAGAAUAAGCAUCGGCUAACUCCGUGCCAGCCGCUGC